CAUCUUUGUUAGUGAUGGAGAUUUUUGUUUUGUUUUGUAUGAGUUUAGAAUAGAGUUUUUGUUGUUAGUGGUUGAGAUUAGAAUGAAGUUUAAGGGUUGAUGGAUUUCUGGGUUUUAGGUUGGAGAUGGAAGAAAUUGAAUUGAAGUGAUGAAGAAUGGAGUUUUUGAUAAUGUUGUUGGGGAUCUGUUUUUUUUUUUUU
rnacentral:lncRNA from 1 species